rnacentral:rRNA from 1 species
AGUGAACGCUGGCGGUAGGCCUAACACAUGCAAGUCGAACGGCAGCACAGUAAGAGCCUGCUCUUACGGGUGGCGAGUGGCGGACGGGUGAGGAAUACAUCGGAAUCUACUUUUUCGUGGGGGAUAACGUAGGGAAACUUACGCUAAUACCGCAUACGACCUACGGGUGAAAGCAGGGGAUCUUCGGACCUUGCGCGAUUGAAUGAGCCGAUGUCGGAUUAGCUAGUUGGCGGGGUAAAGGCCCACCAAGGCGACGAUCCGUAGCUGGUCUGAGAGGAUGAUCUGCCACACUGGAACUGAGACACGGUCCAGACUCCUACGGGAGGCAGCAGUGGGGAAUAUUGGACAAAGGGCGCAAGCCUGAUCCAGCCAUACCGCGUGGGUGAAGAAGGCCUUCGGGUUGUAAAGCCCUUUUGUUGGGAAAGAAAAGCAGCAGGUUAAUACCCCGCUGUUCUGACGGUACCCAAAGAAUAAGCACCGGCUAACUUCGUG